rnacentral:lncRNA from 1 species
GUUUUGGUCAGUAUUGAUUUGGUCUUGUCAAAUUGCUCUUGUUUAUUUUUUGCAGUCAUCUAUCUUGGCUUCAGAUGUUGUUCAUCUGGAGUGACAUUUGCUUACACAUCAAUUAGCAAAGUGACUUAGAUGUAUAUAUUUUUGUAGGUCUGGUUAUUUUUAGAGGGGUCUGGAUGUUGCCAGGUUAAGUUGCAUUUCUACCUCUGCUUUUUGAAUAUCUGUCAGGUAACAACUAUAAAUUUGGGGCUGUAACUUACCACUGAUCAUGAAAUUUGUUUGCAGAUUUACACAGAUGUUCAAAAUGGGCAAGCAAAGAGGUGAGCCACAAUGGCUACCCCUAAUAUCUGUGCUUGAGGUUUGAUAUGUGAGGAUUUGGCAGAUCAACCUCAAAGUUUGGAAAAGCUGUACUCCCUUCUUCAGUGAACAAAACCUGAUGCUGCUUAAUUCAUAAGCAGUGCGGUAUUGCCUGAAAAGCAGUGGGAAGAUCAAACAGCCUUUCAGCCAGCUGCUCAACAUUGGUCACUGCCUUUGGAGAACGAUGAACCCAUCAGCGCAGCUGAGCGCUGCUGUAGAUCACCCAGCACAUGCAGAGAGCCCUUGGUCUGGAUAAAGAGGUUGUGGGAUGUGCAGGAGGAUCUUUGUCAGCAGCUAAAGUCUGUCUCAGAAGCCAAGCUUCCCAUGGGGAAGAGGACAGCUCAUCCAGAUAUAUGGAUGGGAUCUGUAGGAUCUGUAUUUGCACUCACAAAUAACAGUACUCUGCAUCCAUAUCCCAGUUGAGCCUCAUUUGCGACAUGACCAGAAUACAGGAAGAGCAGGCUUAUUGAAUUCAUGUUGGCACCUUGUCAUUUGAAGACUUUUUGUGGACCUGAAGUACAGCAGCUGUUUACAAGGUAUCCUUAUUUUUUCUCAUCUAUUUCAGUAAUAGGCAAAAAUACUUUAGA